GACCUGGUGGUGGAUGGCAACACACCUGUUACACAUGGUGUGUUUGCGCAGCGAACAUAAUUUGGCAGGGGAUCCCCGUUCGAAUCGGGGCCAGGUCA